AUACGUGUAGGGUGGAGAUGCACAACCGUCGGACUGUGUAGCAUUGGACCUUAUUCAAGACGCUUCAUUACGUCCGCUACCGAUGGUUGAUUCCUCCUCCUGACUGAAUGCUUCAGUCAUCACCAUUAGCAGGAGAUGUCGUCGCGACCCCGGCCCUAUUGGCCGAGCGCCGCUAGACACUGGAACGGCUGACAACCGCUCCUGACUCACCUGACACCGACCGUGAGAGUCGUGUGUGCCGAACGCUUUUUCCGCAAGCCCGGAAACCGA
rfam:Pseudomonadales bacterium RIFCSPLOWO2_02_FTLL_63_210 rifcsplowo2_02_scaffold_377210, whole genome shotgun sequence.